UUUUCUUUACAUUUUAGAGCAGUGCCUUUUUGCCUAUUUUUUUUUUCUAUUUUAACCAUCAUAAUUGGAACUAAGUCUUGAGAGGCUGCCUUCAAUCUUCAUAAAUACAGAAAUGAGCAUAUAUGCAAAUAUACAUGCAUAUAUUAUAUACAUUUGUAAAAGAGCCAUUUAAAAAUCUAAUUUCAGCUGUGCCUUAGAGUACAUGAGGGUGAUUUCUAAAAAAUCUUCAGUACCAGUGGUAGCGUGGGGACUGGCUGGGAAGCGGGCGGUCGAGUGUGUCCUGUGUGGACGCGGAUCCUGCCCGAAGCCGGGUAUUCUCGUGAAGUUCUGACUUUCCAGGGAAUGCUUGUGUUUGAUUAUUAAAUGUCUAUUAUAGGACUUUGGGUGAUCAGCCCAUGACCUAGACCUCUAGACAAAAUAAAACAGGGAAAAUUUGCUAGAAUCAAGAAUGAUGGAUCCAUGUUCAGUUGGAGUCCAGCUUCGUACUACAAAUGAAUGCCAUAAAACCUACUAUACUCGUCACACAGGUUUUAAGACUUUGCAAGAAUUGUCAUCAAAUGAUAUGCUUUUACUUCAACUUAGAACUGGAAUGACACUUUCUGGGAACAAUGCAAUUUGUUUUCAUCAUGUAAAAAUUUACAUUGACAGAUUUGAGGAUUUACAGAAGUCAUGUUGUGACCCAUUUAACAUACACAAAAAAUUAGCCAAAAAAAAUUUGCACGUAAUUGACUUAGAUGAUGCCACUUUUCUGAGUGCAAAAUUCGGAAGACAGCUUGUACCUGAUUGUUAGCUUUGUCCAAAAUGCACACAGAUAAUCAAUGGAAGUGUGGAUGUUGAUACUGAAGACCACCAGAAAAGGAAACCUGAGUCAGAUGGAAGAACUGCUAAAGCUUUGAGGUCACUACAAUUUACAAAUCCAGGAAGGCAAACUGAAUGUGCUCCAGAAACUGGUAAAAGAGAAAAAAGAAGGCUUACAAAAAAUGCAACCGCUAGUUCAGACAGACAAGUGAUAACAGCAAAGAGUAAGGUCUGUGAUAGCCAAGGUCUCCUGAUUUUUAGUGGGAUGGACCUCUGUGACUGCCUCGAUGAAGAUUGCUUAGGAUGUUUCUAUGCUUGUCCUGCCUGUAGUUCUACCAAGUGUGGAGCUGAAUGCCCCUGUGACCGCAAGUGGCUGUAUGAGCAAAUUGAAAUUGAAGGAGGAGAAAUAAUUCAUAAUAAACAUGCUGGAUAAUCUGUGGUACCAAACUAUGGGGCCUUUAAAGGUCAUUAUUUCUAAAAUUCUGUCACUCUAAGAUACAUUUUAAGCUUGAUUGUCAUAUGACAAAGAUUUUAAAACCACCUCAGUGUGCCCUAAUUUUUCAUCUUGGGUGCUUUAAUAUUCACUAUUUGAUAUAAAUUCAGAUAGGCUAUUUUUCAGCCUAUUAAGCCUGUCUGGAUCAAUAUAAACAAGUAGGGUGUAGGCAGUCCUCUAUUUGCAUGUUUCCCUUGGGCACAAAUUUCAGUGACCCAGAUUUAGUUUAAACACCGGUUUCCUUAACAGGAAGGAAAGGAAACUGGUAAGGAAACUGUUGUUAAAAUCUAGGUUAAAAUUUUAGUUAGCACAGUAUAACUCUGAGUAAUUACAUGAAGUACAAACUUCUCUGCUAGUUCUUCAGUCUACAAAUCGCUAUGUAAAUAACAGAUAUACUUCAUGAUUAAUGACCAGUCAUGUUGACUACUUUCAGAUUCUUCCAGUGGUUUGUCCCUGUGUAUCUGUUAUUCAGUUCACUUACAGCAGAGCAUGUAGUUAUGCUGUCUCUUUGUCAUCCACUUGACAUUUUAUAGAAGUGAAUACUCAAAAGAACUGGCCAACAAAGAUGAAAGUGCAGCAAAGCAAUGAAAAAUGAUAACACUGGAAGUGAAAUUUUAAUCAAACAUAAAUAAAUUUGUAGAAGAAGUCACUGACCAUGGGAGUAUUGUUCUUGCUGCUGUGCAUUCAUAGGAGCUUAAUGAAGGCAAACUUAUCAACACAAAUAAGAAACAUGGUUGCAAUAAAGACAAAUGUGUCCCAGAGGAAGUGAUGGUUAAAAAAAAAAACUUUACAUUAAAGGAUAUUUAAUGUGAAUAUAGAAAUAUAUCACAACACUGAAAGCACAAGCAAUAAAAGGGUGGAAGCUGACCGAAACUUAAAAGAAGUAUGAGUUUGCCAUGAACAUAAAAGAUGCUCCCUCGGUAUCAUAAGUUACUUGCCAGAAAAAAAGGCAAGCCCUAUUCAAACUACUUCGUUUUUACAAUGAAAUAAACCACUUUAGUUCUAUUUCUAAUGUUUUAAAUUACAGUGUACUAAAUAUUUUUAAACAUUUUUGCAUUUUUUUCCUACAUUUAUAACUGAUCUGAAGAAUUUUUAAUAUUUUAGCAGUAUCUUAAAGGUCAUGGAACAAUCAUCAUUUUCCCCAUUGAUUAUUAAGAUUUCAGGGCCGUUUUAUGGUCCCACAGUACCACGCGAAAUGAGGAUCGCUUGUAGCUGGGAACAAUGCUUGUUCCAGGGAAAACUGAUUUUGAUAGAACCGACUAGUUGAGUAUUAAACUGUUUUGGAAAUAAUUUGUAUAUCUAAGUGCUGAAAUAUAUUUCCCUUCUCCCCACUUAUUCAAAUAAAAAAAGUUUUAAUACUGUAAAUAAAA